rnacentral:lncRNA from 1 species
AAAGAGCUGUCGGGGAGUCAGGACCAUACUCACUGAUUAAUUGAAAUGGCUUUCGCUAUUCACAUUUUCAGAAUUACAUUGAACAUCUCACCUGAGCUGGGUAUGGAUGUGUGCUGUGCAGGUGAGCUUGGUGUGGCACAAAUAGCUUCUAGCCCAGGCACUGCAUCUGAUGGGUACCGUUGGGGUGUGCGUGCAGUGGGGAGAACAUGCAGCAGCUCCUGCUUCUCCCAAAGUUGCUCCUGGAUGGAGCAAAAUUUGUGUAGAAAAAAAAUAAAAAUCACCUAGCAUUGAAGGUUCCAGUUCCAGCCCUGAACGGAGGAGGAUGCCUUUCAUUUCAUAGAACUGCAGAAUCAUCAGGGUUGGAAAAGCCCUCCAAGACCAUCUGCUCCAACCAUCCCCCUACCACCAAUGUCACCCACUGAACCAGGUCCCCAAGCACCACAUCCAACCUCUCCUUGAACACCCCCAGGGACAGGGACUCCACCACCUCCCUGGGCAACCCGUCCCAGUGCCUGACUGCUCUUUCUGAGCAGAAAUGUCUCCUCAUUUCCAGCCUGAGCCUCCCCUGGUACAACUUGAGGCCAUUCCCUGUAGUCCUAUCACUAGCUACCUGUGAGAAGAGGCCGACCCCCAGCUCCCCACACCUUCCUUUCAGGCAGUUGCAGAGAGCAAUGAGGUCUGCCCUGAGCCCCCUCUUCCCCAGACUAAACACCCCCAGCUCCCUCAGCCGCUCCUCACAGGACAUGUGUUCCAGAUUUUUUUUUUACUUCUUACAUUUUUACUUGCUGAAAGUAAUCAAAUACAUCAAUAAAAGGGAAAAUAGCGCUUGUUUUGCCCGCAUUGUGGAGAUUCGCUCUGCUUUUCCUGCUCCACCAGCAUCCGCAUUUUCGAUUAUUAUCCCCCCCCCCCCCCCAACCCAACACACACUCUGCCAACCACCACCCUUAGCCCGAACGGGGGCUGCCUACCCCCCUCCUUUCAUUCUGGGGAAGGUGUGCGGGACCCUCCGACCCUUCACCCCUCCAUCCAUCCCCGGGCACUUCGCGAACCCAAAAAGAGGGGGGAGUGUGGGGGGGGGCGGUGACGUCACGAGCCUCUCGCCAGCACAACGUUCCAUUGAGGCGAGCGCGUGCUCCGCCGAGCACAUGGGCGCUCCGCGCUGCUUUGCCUUUUUUAUUUUCCUUUGCAGCGCUCUGUGGCUUAUUUUUAUUUCUUUUAUUUAUUUAUUUAUUUAUUUUGCUCCCGGCCCUCCGGACCCCUUUCUCAGAGAGAGAGGUCCCAGCCCCGUGCUUUCCACCAUUCUGGAAUAA